rnacentral:misc_RNA from 1 species
UUUUUGUUUAACUUAUUGUUUUAGAAUGAGUUAAAGAUCAAAAAACCCCAGAGUUGAUUGCUUUUUGAUUCGGAUAGGCUUUUGAUUCGCAUCAAAAUACUAUCUUAAUCUCCGACAAUUAACAAUAGAAUGAAUGAAAAAUAAAAUGAAGCGAAGCUUACUUUUGUCAAGGUAUAAUAUACUGUAUUCGCAUACACUAUACAACACCCAACAAAAAUAAGCAACUCUUCCCAAUAAGUUUUCGGUUCGCGGGUCAAAAAUGAUUUGAAAAAAGACUGAAGAAUGAGAGUUACCACACCCUCCAACCAAUUCACAAACCAAAUAUAAGGGAUUGUGGUAAUGAUCCUUCCGCAGGUUCACCUACGGAAA